UUGCAUUUAAAAUUAUUCCUCAGGCUGUUGAAUGCAAAUGAGUUUGGAGGGGGUGGUGUGGAAGAGGGAGGCAGAGUCACCAGUAACGAAAAAAGAGAUGAGGGCUUGAACCGGGAGGAAGGUCUCCGCAUACCCCUGAUUUCCCAAGGACGGUGAGCACACUGAGAAGAAGCAGACAUCGUGGUCAAGAGCAGAACCUCUAGAGUCAGAAGAACUUCAUGAAUAAGGAAUAAAUUACCUGAGACAACACUACUGCUGCAUGGAGAGGAGGAAAUUAAGGCACAGGAACGUUUAGUAAUUGGACCAACAUUUCACAUCAAGAGGCAGAGCAAGUGAAAAUACAAGUAUGAAUUUGCAAUUACUUAGGUCCAGGCCAAAGAACCUCUUUGAAGGAGCAGUCUUGAAGCUUUUGGCUUUAUCUUGAAGCCUAGGCAAGUUCUUUACCUGUUCCUUUAAACACGAAUACGAAUUGAUGUACCUUUCCAUGUAUGCCAGCCACAUGAUACAGGAACUUAAAGCAAUGACCUUUUAGAUCAUGCAAGAAAAAAGAGUAACCAUCCUGAAUGCUCCUAUGAAAUCAGGCGGCCAUGAACAUCUUACUUUCUGUCAAUUGAUGGCAGAAAUGCGAAGGAGAGAAUGACUCCUGGGUGCAUGAUCUUGAACUCCACAGUGACCUAGCCUACCAUGAACAAGGUCAAAUAGUAUCUGCAUCCUGAACCAUGAGAUCACUCUUCUCUCCUUUUUUGAAUAAGUCAGAAAUUAGGUGACAGAGAAGCAAGACAAUGGGGUGGAAGCUUCCGUUAUUGCCUCCAGCUGCAUUUAUUCCUGAAAGCCACUUUAAGUGGACUAUCACAAACUCAAGUAUGUAGGAGCAGGAUGGAAGUCAGAACUUGAUCCUGAAGCAGUUAUCCUAUAUCUGAAAAGCUGUGAUUGGGGAAUGAGAGAUGAGUCUUGUUGAGGUAGAGUCACAGCCAAGGAAUACAGAAAAGCAGAUUUAGGUUUGAGGUCAUCAAACCAGUCCAGCAAUGGAAUGGGCUGCUUUGUGAGGUAGUAGUCUCGGACAUGGAAGCUUUUCCAUGACUAGCUGAUGCCUGGCAAGGAUCCUAUAGAUCAGUUCUACUCAAAAUGUGGUCUGAACAUUGACACCAUUCUAUACAUUGUUACUGGUCUGCAGCGAGGUAAAUUCAGAAAUUGAGAGCAAGCAUUUA